AACUCUGAGCGGUGGAUCACUCGGCUCGUGCGUCGAUGAAGAGCGCAGCCAACUGCGUGAAUUAGUGUGAAUUGCAGGAUAUCUUGAACAUCGACAUCUUGAACGCAUAUUGCGGCCUCAGGUCUCCCUGUGGCCACGCCUGGCCGAGGGUCG
rnacentral:rRNA from 1 species